GUGUAGGGGUAUCGUUGUGAUUCAGUUUCAUGAAGAAAAAAAGUGAACAGACUUUUAUGUAUUAUUUUGAUCAUAAAUAUAUUUAGAUUAGAUCUAAAAUAAUUUAUGAUUCAUUAUGAUAAAAUUCAGAUAUAAAAUUAUUUUAGAUCUGAAUUACAUGUUACAUAUGAUGUAAUUGGUAUUGAUCUAAAAGUUGUCAUGAUACAUGAAAUGUAUAAAUGAAGUUUAGAUCAUACCUAUAUAUGUUUAAUUGUU
rnacentral:lncRNA from 1 species